UUGAACGCUGGCGGCAGGCCUAACACAUGCAAGUCGAACGGUAACAGGAAGAAGCUUGCUUCUUUGCUGACGAGUGGCGGACGGGUGAGUAAUGUCUGGGAAACUGCCUGAUGGAGGGGGAUAACUACUGGAAACGGUAGCUAAUACCGCAUAACGUCGCAAGACCAAAGAGGGGUACCUUCGGGCCUCUUGCCAUCGGAUGUGCCCAGAUGGGAUUAGCUAGUAGGUGGGGUAACGGCUCACCUAGGCGACGAUCCCUAGCUGGUCUGAGAGGAUGACCAGCCACACUGGAACUGAGACACGGCCCAGACUCCUACGGGAGGCAGCAGUGGGGAAUAUUGCACAAUGGGCGCAAGCCUGAUGAAGCCAUGCCGCGUGUAUGAAGAAGGCCUUCGGGUUGUAAAGUACUUUCAGCGGGGAGGAAGGGAGUAAAGUUAAUACCUUUGCUCAUUGACGUUACCCGCAGAAGAAGCACCGGCUAACUCCGUG
rnacentral:rRNA from 1 species